rnacentral:rRNA from 1 species
CCUACGGGUGGCAGCAGUGAGGAAUAUUGGUCAAUGGACGCAAGUCUGAACCAGCCAUGCCGCGUGCAGGAAGACGGCUCUAUGAGUUGUAAACCGCUUUUGUACGAGGGUAAACGCAGAUACGCGUAUCUGUCUGAAAGUAUCGUACGAAUAAGGAUCGGCUAACUCCGUGCCAGCAGCCGCGGUAAUACGGAGGAUUCAAGCGUUAUCCGGAUUUAUUGGGUUUAAAGGGUGCGUAGGCGGUCGGAUAAGUUAGAGGUGAAAUCCCGGGGCUCAAAUUCGGAAUUGCCGUUGAUACUGUAUGGCUGGAGUGCAGGUGCGGUAGGCGGAAUGUAUGGUGUAGCGGUGAAAUGCUUAGAGAUCAUACAGAACACCGAUUGCGAAGGCAGCUUACCAGGCUACAUCUGACGUUGAGGCACGAAAGCGUGGGGAGCAAACAGGAUUAGAUACCCCGGUAGUC